rnacentral:snRNA from 1 species
GGAUGUGAGGGCAAUCUGGCUGCAACAUCUGUCAUUCCAUUGAUCACCAGGGUUGAUUUGACUGAUCUGGCUGGCUAGACAGGUGUCCCCAUCCUCCCUCACUGCUCCACAUGUGUCCCUCUUAAAGGUGUGUGCUGGGUCAGAGGAUGAUAUUCAUGAUAGAGGAGGAAUGUUCUUCUGUUGAGGGUAUACGACUAACUGUGCUUUCCUUUUAGAACCUCCAAGCAAGCUCUCCAUUAAGGGUAUUCAUUAGACCAUGGGUUUCAGGUACAGCAUCUAUCACUGCAAAAUAAACCAACAAAACAGUGUUGGAAAACAAUUCAUUU